rnacentral:rRNA from 1 species
GUAGGUGGCAAGCGUUGUCCAGAAUUAUUGGGCGUAAAGCGCGCGCAGGCGGUUCUUUAAGUCUGAUGUGAAAGCCCACGGCUCAACCGUGGAGGGUCAUUGGAAACUGGAGAACUUGAGUACAGAAGAGGAAAGCGGAAUUCCACGUGUAGCGGUGAAAUGCGUAGAGAUGUGGAGGAACACCAGUGGCGAAGGCGGCUUUCUGGUCUGUAACUGACGCUGAGGCGCGAAAGCGUGGGGGAGCAAACAGGAUUAGAUACCCUGGUAGUCCACGCCGUAAGCGAUGAGUGCUAAGUGUUAGGGGGUUUCCGCCCCCCCCUUAGUGCUGCAGCUAACGCAUUAAGCACUCCGCCUGGGAGUACGGCCGCAAGGCUG